UCUCGGGUAGUAUAGUGGUAAGUAUCCCCGCCUGUCACGCGGGAGACCGGGGUUCAAUUCCCCGCUCGAGAG
rnacentral:tRNA from 1 species